rnacentral:rRNA from 1 species
UGUGUAGGCGGUCCUUUAAGUUUGGUGUGAAAUCUCCCGGCUCAACCGGGAGGGUGCGCCGAAUACUGAGGGACUCGAGUGCGGGAGAGGAAAGUGGAAUUCCUGGUGUAGCGGUGAAAUGCGUAGAUAUCAGGAGGAACACCGGUGGUGUAGACGGCUUUCUGGACCGUAACUGACGCUGAGACACGAAAGCGUGGGUAGCAAACAGGAUUAGAUACCCUGGUAGUCCACGCCCUAAACGAUGCAUAUUUGGUGUGGGUCAUUCAGUUGAUCCGUGCCGGAGCUAACGCGUUAAAUAUGCCGCCUGGGGAGUACAGUCGCAAGGCUGAA